rnacentral:rRNA from 1 species
ACGGGUGAGGAAUACAUCGGAAUCUACUCUGUCGUGGGGGAUAACGUAGGGAAACUUACGCUAAUACCGCAUACGACCUACGGGUGAAAGCAGGGGAUCUUCGGACCUUGCGCGAUUGAAUGAGCCGAUGUCGGAUUAGCUAGUUGGCGGGGUAAAGGCCCACCAAGGCGACGAUCCGUAGCUGGUCUGAGAGGAUGAUCAGCCACACUGGAACUGAGACACGGUCCAGACUCCUACGGGAGGCAGCAGUGGGGAAUAUUGGACAAUGGGCGCAAGCCUGAUCCAGCCAUACCGCGUGGGUGAAGAAGGCCUUCGGGUUGUAAAGCCCUUUUGUUGGGAAAGAAAUCCAGCUGGCUAAUACCCGGUUGGGAUGACGGUACCCAAAGAAUAAACACCGGCUAACUUCGUGCCAGCAGCCGCGGUAAUACGAAGGGUGCAAGCGUUACUCGGAAUUACUGGGCGUAAAGCGUGCGUAGGUGGUCGUUUAAGUCCGUUGUGAAAGCCCUGGGCUCAACCUGGGAACUGCAGUGGAUACUGGGCGACUAGAGUGUGGUAGAGGGUAGCGGAAUUCCUGGUGUA